CGCAAAGGUAGCAUAAUCAAUAGUCUUUUAAUUGGGGGCUUGAAUGAAAGGUUUGACGGGGGGAAGACUGUCUUUUUAGUUUAAAUUGAAGUUAACAUUUGUGUGAAAAGGCAUCAAUAAUUCAAGGGGACGAUAAGACCCUAUAAAAUUUAACAUAUAAAAUCAUUUAUCAGAAUUGGUAGAUAAUGGUUAGAUGAUUAACUAUGUUUUGCUGGGGCGGCAUGAAUAUAAAUUUAACUGUUUAAGAAAUGUAAUAUUUAUUAAUAGAUUAUGGUCCUUUAUUAGAGAGUUAAGAUUAAGUUACUUUAGGGAUAA
rnacentral:rRNA from 1 species